ensembl:antisense
UGCUCAUUGCCCUUGGCGAUCUGUGUCUCCCGCUCCCAAUACUCCGGCCCCUCCUGCUCCAUCCACCGCGCCCGCGGCUCAUAUCUCGGAUUCUCCGCGUCGCUGUCGAAGCGAACGAACUCCGUGUUGUCCACAAAACCGACAGAGAUGAACCGGGGCUCCCCGAGGCCGGGCCGGGACACGGCGGUGGUGAAAUACCUCAGCGAGUGUGAGCCUGGGGGCGGCGCGCGGUGAGACCCCGACCUCCUCACCAGACCCCGGGCGGCUGCGCGGGCUGAGAGGGGAGCAGGGCGCGGGGGCCAGGGCGGCCGCCAGCAGCAGGAACAGCGUGCGCGGAGCCAUCGCCCCCAUCUGGGAUCCCGGGUGUCUGAGUCCCGCGGGGUGCGUGGACUUUAUAACUAGCGUCGGCGGCAACACUGAUUGGCUCCUGGAAUCUCGCCACCCAAUGAUCGUGAGACUUGCCAGNNNNNNNNNNNNNNNNNNNNCCCAGUAGCAACUCUAGGAGAGUGUCCAUGAGUUUUACACAUGAAGAGAACUGAGAAGCAGUUUCUGAAGCCCAUGCUGUUGCUUGCUGAUAAACUGACAAAGCUCUCCCUAGUCCACACCAUGAGAUCUGUGAAGGAUGAAUUUUUCCUGAGUAAGAAGGAAGUAUGGACCAAGCAGUUUCCAAUUCUAUUAAAAAUGACAGACUUAUCCGUUACUUAGACAACAACUGAAGUAGUCUUAAUUUCACUGGGGACAGAGGACCCAGGGCAACAUCAGACUUCCCUGCCCAGUCCAGAAGAUCCAAAGCAAGGCCAUCAACUCCCCAGUUGUCCACAGUUUGUCCGGGGUCCUGUUGACAGACAAGAUGAAGGGCAGGUUUUUACCCAGUGGCUGGCUUUGUCACCUUUAAAGCAAGCUCCUUAUCUGAGAAGAC